rfam:Flavobacterium branchiophilum FL-15, complete genome.
CUUUUACCGUAAACUGCGUUAGGGAUGGAAGUGGAAAUCCUUUUUUUUAUGGUUGUUUGAAUUUGUUUUGUAAAAAUGAUUUUUGUUUUUAUCGAAAUCAUUCAACUGAAAACUACAACCAUAAAAAAAAAAUUGAAACGGACAGCCCGACCCUUG